GAUGAAGAACGUAGUGAAAUGCGAUAAGUAAUGUGAAUUGCAGAAUUCAGUGAAUCAUCGAAUCUUUGAACGCAUCUUGCGCUCCUUGGUAUUCUGAGGAGCAUGCCUGUUUGAGUGUCAUUAAAUUCUCAACUACACUGACUUUGAAUUGGUGUGGCUUGGAUUUGGGGGGAAAAUUGUUGUGGGCUUUUUGUAUAGUCUGCUCCCCUGAAAUUGAUUAGCGGUACCUUUGUGGAACUGUCUACAGGUGUGAUAAUUAUCUACAUCUUAGACAUCUGCUGGAAUGCUGCUUUCUACCCCUUACUUGUAUUGACAAUCUUGACCUCAAAUCAGGUAGGACUACCCGCUGAACUUAAGCAUAUCAAUAAGCGGAGGA
rnacentral:misc_RNA from 1 species